UACGUAGGUGGCAAGCGUUUGUCCGGAAUUAUUGGGCGUAAAGCGCGCGCAGGCGGUCCUUUAAGUCUGAUGUGAAAGCCCACGGCUCAACCGUGGAAGGUCAUUGGAAACUGGGGGACUUGAGUACAGAAGAGGAAAGCGGAAUUCCAAGUGUAGCGGUGAAAUGCGUAGAGAUUUGGAGGAACACCAGUGGCGAAGGCGGCUUUCUGGUCUGUAACUGACGCUGAGGCGCGAAAGCGUGGGGAGCAAACAGG
rnacentral:rRNA from 1 species